rnacentral:lncRNA from 1 species
GCACAAAACGUCAUAAGCUAUAGACGUGACAACCAAACAUAUAUAAUUUUCUCUGAACACAAAACCACAAGACAUACUGAAGAGAAUAUAAUCAACAAUUACAAAUCGCAGCGUGCAGUCUUGAGGCGGCCGUUGUCCUUCCCGGCAGGUCUACAUACUAACUUCUACUCAGAAGGUCAAUGCCGACGACACGGGGACAAAGGUCGCGGCCUCAAACAAGACUGGACACUCGCAAGCAGACAGAAAAAGCACAAAAGAGAGCAAACUUGGCUUUGAAAGCGAACAGCAUGGAUCCUGACCAGACUGCGCACUAUGUUGGUUUUAACAUGGCGCGACCCAUAUGGCGUUAUAAAUGUCUUUCAAACUAGCUCACAAGCAAGUCAUGCACGAGAAGUGGGCGUGAG